UAAAUUUAAUGAUAGACAAGUGAAAACCUGAAAGUGGAAAAAAGUGAAUUUUAUUCAAAUAUAACGGUUUUAUUGCAGAAGUAUGGGGUUUGGUCAUGGCCACCACCAUGACAAUGUUACGGUGGACUGGGACUCCAUUAAGUGGGACGAACUGUCUCCGGAGGAGAAAUGGAACCUUGAACACAUCAGAAUGCACCAGAAGCAUGCAGGGCACGCUGAAAUGCAUGCUGAAAUGAUUUUCAUUCUUCUUGUUGUUCUUCUUCUAUCUCAAGUAGUUCUUAUACAAUGGCGGAAACACAGACCCUACUCAUACCAUCUCUGUACUUUAAUAGGAAUGUGGGUAAUCCCUGUAGGGCUGUGUUUAAGAAACCAAUGGUACAGGUUUCCUCUGAUCUGGUUCAUUUUCUCCGUUGUUACUUCCUUCAUCACUAAGAAGUCUCUAGAAAAACCUAUCGAGGGAACAACCCCUCGCCUUGUUUACAAAUGGUUCCUGUUGAUCUACAAGAUCAGCUACUGUACCGGUAUAUUCGGAUACUUUACCAUGAUGGCAACCUUCUUGGGGUUCAACUUCAUAUUCGGAGCUAAACCUUCGACCUGGAUGGAUGCAGGACUCAUGUGCAUGUUCUACGCUCUCUACUACGGAGUAAUGGCGCGGGACUUUGCCGAGAUAUGCUCGGAGAAGAUGGCAGCAAACAUAGGAUACUACAAGGUUGAAGGUAUUCCUGAGCGAACCCUGGAGUCUGAUACUUGUGCAGUGUGCGGGAACAAGCUCCUGGUCCCUGUAGGAGAGGAGGGGGUUAUUGAGAACACGUUCCGUCUCUCCUGUAGCCAUGAGUUCCAUGAGUUCUGUAUCAGGGGUUGGUGUAUAGUAGGGAAGAAGGAAACCUGUCCUUGGUGUCACGAGAAGGUGGAUUUAAAGAGAAUGUUUCCAACUCCAUGGGAGAAACCUCACAUGAUGUAUGGUCAGCUUCUGGACUGGGUUCGUUGGUUGGUUUGUUGGCAGCCGGUUAUCCUACUCCUGGUUCAGGGGAUAAACUGGGCUCUUGGUCUAGAGUAGUCCUAUCCUACUCCUGGUUCAGGGGAUAAACUGAACCCUAGGUCUAGAGUAGUCCUAUCCUACUUCUGGUUCAGGGGAUAAACUGAACCCUAGGUCUAGAGUAGUCCUAUCCUACUCCUGGUUCAGGGGAUAAACUUGACUCUAGGUCUAGAGUAGUCCUAUCCAGGAGGAUUGGGAUUGUUAUGAUUGCAUUGUUUUCAUAGUUCUUGUUUUUGUAGAGAUACAAAUUUUUCAAUACUUCCUGAGCUGAAAACUUUAGAAUGGUGGAUAUCGAGAUCAAUGCUUAAUCUCCUGGAUUUACUAAACUAGAGAUUUUCCGCUUUGGAUAAAACAGGUUUACCGCCACUUUUCAGUAGAAUUUAACUAAUUGUUAUUUGUAAUUUUAGCUUUAUACGUUUGCAAUCUCAUCAAAUUUAAGUGCGGUAUUCUGUAUUAUAAAAUCAUAAACAUAAAAUCUUAACUGCCACUGGGUUUUAAAGUUUUUCAAAGAAAAUACUAAUUUCUUAAUGGUUUCAUAUAGUUUUUAAUUGUUAAAUCUAACCCUUGCUUCAUGUCUUCAUAAAAAUGUAAUUAAUUUUGUUGUCUCAAAUGUUUGAAUGAUAAGAAUGUACCCCUAAGGAGUAUCCUUCGAUGAAUU